AUUGAACGCUGGCGGCAGGCCUAACACAUGCAAGUCGAACGAGUGGCGGACGGGUGAGUAAUGUCUGGGAAACUGCCCGAUGGAGGGGGAUAACUACUGGAAACGGUAGCUAAUACCGCAUACCAUCGGAUGUGCCCAGAUUGGAUUAGCUAGUUGGUGGUGUAAAGGCUCACCUAGGCGACGAUCCCUAGCUGGUCUGAGAGGAUGACCGGCACAACUGGAACGGAGACAGGCGCCAGACUCCUACGGGAGGCAGCAGUGGGGAAUAUUGCACAAUGGGCGAAAGCCUGAGGCAGACAUGCGCGGUGUAUGAAGAAGUCCUUCGGGUUGUAAAGUACUUUCAGCGAGGAGGCGUUACUCGCAGAAGAAGCACCGGCUAACUCCGUGCCAGCCGCCGCGGUAAUAC
rnacentral:rRNA from 1 species